GUUUUUUUUAAGUUUUUAAGUUUUAAAAUAUUCAAUAUAUAGAGUAAUUUAUUCAGUUCAUAUAUCCCAGUUCACUUCAUUCAGGUCACAUGUUCCAAUGUCAAAAUGUAAAUAAUAAUAAAAAGGAAUGGUGGGUUUUGUUCCUUUUUGAGGUCAUUGCCCUUUAGAGGAAUCUGGUGACAUCAUGGACCUUCCUGCAGCCAAGUCCAUAUGUGCAUAUCAGCACACACACAAAAUCAAAGUUGAAAGCACCUGAUGUGGAGAACGAGAGGAGGGUGCAAGGCAAGUCAGUCAUCUGCCAGUCAGAUGGAUGAAGGGUCAGGAACUGCCAUCACAGCACAAGGAGCUUUUUCUCUAAAGAGAUGGAAGUGGACUGAAUGAGAAGAGAGAAACAUGUGACAUGGCCCUUCAGUUCUGAGUCCAGCGAUUGGUACUCAAGAUCCCCGUAAGAUCCCUGUUUGUCUGUUUACAGUGAACGUCCCUGGACAUGACCAAGCUGGCCUAGCCUCUUGACUUACAACCAGACAAAAGUGAUGGAGCUGACUUCUGCACGGUGGGGCAUUACUGCUGUGUCAUUCCAGGUUGCUGGUGGCCAGCAUUAGGAAGCUUUCCUGUAGGGCGAUUGUAUCAACAGCAGAUGCUUUCAGAAUAAAGUGAAUAACCAGCCGCAGUUACUUUUCACGGCUGCUGACUUCCUUUAGAGUAGGUUGAACACUUGCCAAGCAUAUCCUCUUUUUUUUGGUACUCCAGUUUAAGGAAAAGGCAAGGAAGAGUUGACAUCGACCUUGCUAGUAGAUUUUUUUUUUUCUUGGUACUUUAAAAAUAUUUUUGAACUUUAAUUGAGGCAGAACUUUCUAAGAUUUAUAGCUAGAAAGGACUUAAAAGCUUUUCUAGUCCCACUACUUUCAUACAUAAAGAGAGCUGGACCCCAGUGUAUAUCACCUACUCAGUCUCCUUUAGCACUCACAAUAACCUUGUGUAGUGUAAGACCCAGACACAGUUAGUUAACUCCUUGCCCAAGAUCAAAGAUAUAGCUAGGGAUGGAAAUAGGUUUGAACCCAGGUCUUCCUGACUACAAAGAAUAUGUUGCAGUGCUUCUUUGGGCUGUAAAAUUCAGGCAACAGAAGAGUGAGGCUUUUACCGUACCUUUCUUGGUCUUUUUUUAGCAUCUGUUCUAGAAAAGAAGGCUGGAACCUUACAAUCUCCACUUGUUUACUUACUUACAGCACUGAGGAUUGAACCCAGAGCCUCAUGCAUGACAGACAAAUGCCUUACCACUGAGCUACACCCUCGCCCCUUUUUUAUUUUGUAUUUUUGUUGUUGUUGUUGUUGGGGGAGUACGUGGGAUUGAACUCAGGGACACUUGACCACUGAGCCACAUCCCCAACCUUAUUUUGUAUUUUAUUUAGAGACAGGGUCUCACUGAGUUGCUUAGCACCUCACUUUUUUGCUGAGGCUGGCUUUGAACUCACAAUCCUCCUGCCUCAGCCUCUGGAAUUACAGGUGUGUGCCAUUGAACCCGGUUUUAUUUUGUAUUUUAAGACAGCGUCUUGCUAAGUCGCCCAGGCUGGCCUUGAACUCAUGAUGCUCCUGCCUCAUUCCCUCCUGAGUAGGAGUUUAUAGGCAUGCAACACUGCCCCUGGCAAAAGCCCCAUUUUUUGAUCUUUGAGCCAAUCAGUCUUGAAUUAUCCAUCUAGCAUCCCCCGCUAUGGCCAUAUUGUUGCAACCAAGCAGAUCUUUUCCCACUGUGCUGGAGCUGCUGUUGGACACUUAGCCUAUCUUACAGAGGCUUCCCAUGGAACCAUUUGGUGGUGGUGGAGAGGAUUGACAGGAAGUACCAGGCAGCAGAGAUCCAUGGUUUGAACAUUAGAAUAACUAAUAACUUAUUUACAGAGGAUCUGCAGGAUGGAGGGGAGGUUAGAAGCCAUGGCUCUAGAAAUAGACUGGGUGAGUCUCAGCUCUUCUCCUUUAAUAUCUGAGUGACCUUGGGCAGGUACCUGCUGCCUCUAAAAUUUCAGUUUCUUUGCGAUAUAGGAAUUAAUUUGUUUGUAUGUGUGUUUUUGAAGUAUGCACUACACAGGGUUGUAGAGGAUCCACUUAACACAGUACCUGAAGUGGUGAUGCUCAGUAAAUGCUGGCUGCUUCUGCCUACUUGAAAAUGGUUUAGAGAAAAAGCAAGAGAGAGGUAGUAUCAGCCUCCAAAAAUUGCUCUAUUUUGGUUAAUGGUUUUUAAGUUUUUGAGCUGAAAACAAGUCACGGCUUUCUAGGCGUAUAAAGGUGGGGAGAUUGCUUUCCUUGACAAUGCUAACUCCUGUGCUUAGCUGACAGAGCCAAUUUAAAACUGCAGUCAUUUUAUGAGUGUAAAAUAUUAGUUUCAAAGUGCAUAAAACGUAUCUGCAUUUUAUGACCAUAAUGAAGAGAGGUAGAAAUAUGUUCCAAAUUGUUUUGUAGCUUGACCAUUAAGUAAUAUGGCUGUUGUUUUCCUGUUUCUCAGCAGCAUAAUGAGG
rnacentral:lncRNA from 1 species